rnacentral:rRNA from 1 species
CCCUUAGAUGUUCUGGGCCGCACGUGCGCUACACUGAUGCAUUCAACAAGUUCUACCUUGGCCGAGAGGCCUGGGAAAUCUUUCAAAUAUGUAUCGUGAUAGGGAUAGAUUAUUGCAAUUAUUAAUCUUGAACGAGGAAUUCCUAGUAAAUGCAGAUCAUCAUUCUGCGUUGAUUACGUCCCUGCCCUUUGUACACACCGCCCGUCGCACCUACCGAUUGAAUGAUCCGGUGAAGCCUCGGGAUUGUGCCCAGAGAACUUUAUUGUGAUUUGGGUGUGAGAACUUGUCUAAACCUUAUCAUUUAGAGGAAGGUGAAGUCGUAACA